rnacentral:rRNA from 1 species
AUGCAGUCCAUCAUCCGCACCGCCGUGGUCGCGUACCCGGACCCUCUGCCGCUCGACCCGUACAACGGCGUGUACCUGGUGCUCUCCUCACCGGACGUGCAGGUGGAGGAGUUCUGCCGCGCCAUGUGCGGCUUCCACUAUUUCACCUUCGCGUCCGUGGUCGGGGUCACCGUACCGUACGCGUGGGUCGGGAACAGCGGCUCGCAGUGCCCAGGGAGGUGUGCGUAUCCGUUCGCCGCGCCGGAGUACGGCGCCAGCGGGCAGGGGGUGCUGCGGCCGCCGAACGGCGACCCCGGGGUGGACGGGAUGGUGAUCGUGCUGGGGCACGAGCUUGCGGAGCUGGCCACCAACCCGCUGGUGAACGCGUGGUACGCCGGUGACACGCCAACGGCGCCCACGGAGAUCGCCGACCUCUGUCUCGGGGUCUACGGCGACGGCGGUGGAGCAGGCGGGUUCGUCGGGAAUGUCUCCCACGCAGCCGACGGCAGCUCCUACAACGUGAACUGCGUCAACGGCCGGCGGUUCCUUCCUGGUGCAGUGGCUCUGGAACCCCGUCCUCGGCGCGUGCUACGGACCCAACUCCAGCAACUGAAGCCGCUCUUCUCUUCCCCGGAUCCGUGGCUUCUCUCAGUUGAUGCCAUUGCGCUGGAUGGCGUUGCAGAGGCAGAUGGCAAGUCCAUGGAUGGAUGGGUACGGCAUGGCAUGAUAACCAGAUACUGA